rnacentral:lncRNA from 1 species
ACGUGGAGGUGCAGCAGAGCCCAGGACAGCUGUGUCAAGUCUCCCUCACUCCAGCUACUGCUUAUCUUGUGACUAAGGGGUGUCUGUCUGCCUGGUGAAACACACUUUCAGUUCUGGUUUGGGGCUUUGCUUUAUGCCAAACCCCUCAUGCCCCAACUUCCCAUUGCCCCCCGUUGUCUUUUGCCUUGGUUUGGAGCAGUUUGUUUUUUGAGGUGCUGGUGAUGUGGUCCCACGCCUGUCCCUGCCCACGGAGGCUCCAUUGUUCGAGUCCCUCUCAGCCUGACCUCCCCCACAGCCCUGCCAUCAUUUUGACAUUUCCAUGCAGCACUGCCAGAGAGAGAGGCUGAGCUGAACGGUCCCCAGCACAGAAGAGAUGCUUCAUAGAAAGAAGAGAAUGAGAAGCAAAAGUUGAUGGUCUAAGGGGACAAGGAUCCAGAUAAACUACAGGUCCAAGCUGAUAAAUAAAAA